AACUUCUGAAUGUUGACCUCGGAUCAGGUAGGAAUACCCGCUGAACUUAAGCAUAUCAAUAAGCGGAGGAAAAGAAACCAACAGGGAUUGCCCUAGUAACGGCGAGUGAAGCGGCAACAGCUCAAAUUUGAAAUCUGGCUCUCGGGCCCGAGUUGUAAUUUGUAGAGGAUGCUUUUGAUGCGGUGCCUUCCGAGUUCCCUGGAACGGGACGCCAUAGAGGGUGAGAGCCCCGUCUGGUUGGAUGCCAAAUCUCUGUAAAGCUCCUUCGACGAGUCGAGUAGUUUGGGAAUGCUGCUCUAAAUGGGAGGUAUAUGUCUUCUAAAGCUAAAUACCGGCCAGAGACCGAUAGCGCACAAGUAGAGUGAUCGAAAGAUGAAAAGCACUUUGAAAAGAGAGUUAAAAAGUACGUGAAAUUGUUGAAAGGGAAGCGUUUAUGACCAGACUUGGGCUUGGAUAAUCAUCUGGGGUUCUCUCCAGUGCACUUUUCCAGUCCAGGCCAGCAUCAGUUUUCGCCGGGGGAUAAAGGCUUCGGGAAUGUGGCUCUCUCCGGGGAGUGUUAUAGCCCGUUGCGUAAUACCCUGGCGGGGACUGAGGUUCGCGC
rnacentral:rRNA from 3 species